rnacentral:rRNA from 1 species
CCUACGGGGUGCAGCAGUGGGGAAUAUUGCGCAAUGGGCGAAAGCCUGACGCAGCGACGCCGCGUGAGGGAUGAAGGUCUUCGGAUCGUAAACCUCUGUCAGCAGGGAAGAACGGUCACUGUGCUAAUCAGCAGUGAAUUGACGGUACCUGCAAAGGAAGCACCGGCUAACGCCGUGCCAGAAGCCGAGGUAAUACGGAGGGUGCGAGCGUUAAUCGGAAUUAAUGGGCGUCAAGCGCUCGUAGGCGGUAUGUCAAGUCAAGGGUGAAAUCACCGCGCUCAACGUGGGAACUGCCUGUGAAACUGGCAAACUGGAGUGUGUGAGAGGAUAGUGGAAUUCCAGGUGUAGGAGUGAAAUCCGUAGAUAUCUGGAGGAACAUCAGUGGCGAAGGCGACUAUCUGGCACAUAACUGACGCUGAGGAGCGAAAGCGUGGGUAGCAAACAGGAUUAGAUACCCCGGUAGUC